rnacentral:rRNA from 1 species
CCUACGGGGGGCAGCAGUGGGGGAUAUUCCACAAUGGGGGGAACCCUGAUCCAGCGACGCCGCGUGAGUGAUGAAGUAUUUCGGAAUGUAAAGCUCUGUCAGCAGGGAAGAAAGCAAUGACGGUACCUGACCAAGAAGCCCCGGCUAACUACGUACAAGCAGCCGCGGUAAUACGUAGGGGGCAAGCGUUAUCCGUAAUUACUGGGUGUAAAGGGAGCGUAGACGGGUGUGCAAGUCUGGAGUGAAAGGCAGGGGCUCAACCCCCGGACUGCGUUGGAAACUGUAUGGCUUGAGUGGAGGAGAGGUAAGUGGAAUUCCAAGUGUAGCGGUGAAAUGCGUAGAUAUUAGGAGGAACACCAGUGGCGAAGGCGGCUUACUGGACUGUAACUGACGCUGAGGCUCGAAAGCGUGGGGAGCAAACAGGAUUAGAUACCCUUGUAGUC